GGUUAAGCGACUAAGCGUACACGGUGGAUGCCCUGGCAGUCAGAGGCGAUGAAGGACGUGCUAAUCUGCGAAAAGCGCCGGCGAGGUGAUAUGAACCCUUGACCCGGCGAUGUCCGAAUGGGGAAACCCAGUGCAAUCCGUUGCACUAUCGUUAACUGAAUACAUAGGUUAACGAGGCGAACCGGGGG
rnacentral:rRNA from 1 species